UCAGUGUGGUUUCCGUUGUGCUUGGGAGCAGUCGCGUAGUCGCCCGUGUCCAGCUCCUUCUUUGUUCUUUGUUCCGAAAUCGGUCUUCUUCUUCUUCGGACCCCGAACUUCGCCUCACGCUUCCUGCCUUCGUCAAAGGGCCUCCUUUCGUUCGACACAUUGGGCGCAAGAGCGAGUUGCACGGCUGGCCCUCCGUUUCAAGUGACCUCCUUCAGCUGCGGAUGACCUGUGCUUAAUCAAGACCGCUUGAAUGGCAACUGAGAACUUGCUCCAAGCAAAAAGUGUUUUU